rnacentral:tRNA from 1 species
CAGGGAUGGGAAUCGAACCCAUAGUGUUCCGCUUACCGGGCAGAUGCCAUAUCCACUAGGCGUUAUUUCUCCU